rnacentral:rRNA from 1 species
UACGGAGGGUGCAAGCGUUAUCCGGAUUUACUGGGGUUAAAGGGUGCGUAGGUGGGUUGGGUAGUCAGUGGUGAAAUACUUUCGCUUAACGAAGGAACUGCCAUUGAUACUUCCAAUCUUGAAUACAGUGGAGGUGGGCGGAAUGCGUCAUGUAGUGGUGAAAUACUUAGAUAUGACGCAGAACACCUAUUGCGAAGGCAGCUCGCUACACUGUCAUUGACACUGAGGCACGAAAGCGUGGGGAUCAAACAGG